UAUUUAUUUGAAAAAUUGAAAACACAGAUGCAAUGUAUUAUACAAAGAGGUCUUAAUAUCAUAACAAAAGUAUCAUUGGAAGGAGACAAAAGUCAGUGGCUACCUGCCCUUGGGAAGGCAGACACUUAGUGAAAAAUGCAAUUUAUUUGUAGGGACUAUUCUAAUGGAGAAUUGGGGAAAGAGGUUAAAAACAGAAAAACCAACCCAAUCCCAUCCCUGCAAACCUAAAUGUGAAUUUGUUAUAGGUUUGAGACGUUUGUGUUAUGACCUAGAUUUAACCAAACCCCCUCGGUUUGUCCCUAUGAGUGGUAACCAGCUUAAUUCAGGGCCUUCAAACCUGAGGUAGUUGAGGGUCAGCUGAAACACGUGUUUGGGAAGAUCUCCUGGGUUUGGGUUUACCAGCAUCUAACCAAUCCUACCUUGUUGCUUUGGUGCCUGGGCACGGCAGGCAGUGACACCAUUGAGAGCUACUGGUCCUAUAUUUGGUCUGGACCUGGGAGACAAGGAACUGAGCAGUAAACAGCUUUGCUGUGUUGAUGGCUGGCAGGCUCCAUGGUGGUGGUUUCCUAGGCUACAGGCAGUGCGGUUGCUGGAGGACCCAAGAUGGCAGAGAGAAGGCAAAGCCUCUCUGGCCGAAAGGCUUUCCUUGGCAGGAAGGAUUUCCAGAAAGGCAUGGAAAGUAGCAAGACACUUGCCAGCUAUUAAAGACCAGGGUAAAAUGAAGCCAGCAGAUACCUCUGGACUGGAAAGGUGACCAAGAAGUAUGGACUUCCCAGAGGCCAGCUUAGAAUCAGCUCUUCUUGAGCAAGAGGCCAAAGCACACUAAAGGGACUGAAAUGACAUGUCCUUGUGAUUCUUGUGACACCUGGCCUAAACCUUGGCAUCUGACUUGGUAGCUGAAAGAAUUCCAAGACAGGAUGCUCUGGACAGCGUGGCUCUUCCAGGCACUGGGCUGAGGACACACAGUCAUGUGGGAUCCCAGGGACACCAUGGUGGGCCACAGAAUCAGCAAGUAAUGUAAAUUAGUCUAAACUCUGUGCUUAGACAUAAAAUAACCCCACCAAGGAAGGUCUCUUCCUCUAUCUUUUUCUUACAACACACACAAGUAUCUUUGCUCCGCAGGCAUUAGAGCACUGUGUCACAGCAUACUAGAGCCUCUUUAGUCCUAAACCAGGAUUUGGUUGCCAUCCCGAUUAGGCCCCAUCUAGACCCACCCACUAGACUUCAGUCACUAAGGAGGCCCAAUGACUCAUUUAAAAGCUUUAAGACAUGAUUUCUAUUUUCAUUUAAGAUAUUUCACCCCAACUCUAACACAUCUUUUUUUUUUUUUUUUUGGUAGAUGAGCCAAGGAGAAUUAAGUGGAAUAAUCUGUAAUCUGAGCUGUUUGUGUGACACGGAGUUAGCCUGUGCUCUGUGCCUUUUGGAUUAUUUUAUUACUCAAGCUGAGCCUUAGAGAGACUUAAACAUGACUGUGGCUUCUCAGAGGGAGUGUUACUGAGAGAAUCCUAAUACGCUCCAUUUCCACCAUACAACAAGUCUGAGUGUUUUUGGGAAAAGGUGACCCACGCUGACAAUACACUCACUGGCUUACGUGACAGAUGGGCCAGGGAUGCCACACACCCAUCCACCUAAACCUUGAAAUGGAGAGUCACUGAGCAUAGAGACAGGGCCAGUUUCUAUGGUGGAUCCCCUUGAGCCCAGCAUGGAGGUCCCACGUCCUAAAACACUCAGUUUCUGGGAGACAGUGUUUAAGUGUCUCACUUAGAAAACACAUGGACUGGGAGGGUGAAGAGGAGGCUGAUUCACAGUGAUUGAGCAAGUCUCACAACCAGUCAUGUAGCAAAACUCAGCCACACUGUGAAGGGCCCAGGUCCAAGAAGUGCUCGCCUGCUACCCGUGAGCUGCUACAGGUAAAGAAGGAAGACGCUGCUUUUCCAAGAUCAGAAGGUCACUUGAUGUUGGGGUCCAUCUGAGAGUGGGAAAGCGCUGCCGGACUCCCUGUCUCCAGGCAGCUGUGCUCUGCUCUUGUCCUGUCUGCAGGGCACCAAGAGCCAGGAAUGCAUGGCUGGAACCAGUCAGAACCAGUGGCCCCAUUUCAUGCUGGCCCUGCCCCAAAUGCCCUAGGGAACCUCGCUUUCGGGAUCAAAGCCUGGCACUGCCCAGGGACAGCACCUUGGUCUUAUUCAGGAUCCCUGAUGACUGACAUUAGAGGGCAGCCGUGCCAGGCUCGUCGCAGUCGCCUGCAGUCCUGAUCGCUCCAAGCAUCUCUGUGCUGGCCGUUGCUGCUUAAAGGUUAGUAAUAAAUACGAAAGGGCCCACACCACACACAGGGCCCCUUCCUGAUGGGAAUGAGAGGGCCUGUGCUCUCAGGCUGUGAG